CAGCAGCCGCGGUAAAACGAAGGGUGCAAGCGUUAAUCGGAAUUACUGGGCGUAAAGCGCGCGUAGGUGGUUCAUUAAGUUGGAUGUGAAAGCCCUGGGCUCAACCUGGGAACUGCAUCCAAAACUGGUGAGCUAGAGUACGGUAGAGGGUAGUGGAAUUUCCUGUGUAGCGGUGAAAUGCGUAGAUAUAGGAAGGAACACCAGUGGCGAAGGCGACUACCUGGACUGAUACUGACACUGAGGUGCGAAAGCGUGGGGAGCAAACAGGAUUAGAUACCCGCGUAGUCCCUGUCUCUUAUAA
rnacentral:rRNA from 1 species